GACGAACGCUGGCGGCGUGCUUAACACAUGCAAGUCGAACGGUGAAGCUCCAGCUUGCUGGAGUGGAUCAGUGGCGAACGGGUGAGUAACACGUGAGCAACCUGCCCCUGACUCUGGAAUAAGCGCUGGAAACGGCGUCUAAUACUGGAUAUGAGAAGGGUCCGCAUGGACACUUUCUGGAAAGUUUUUCGGUUGGGGAUGGGCUCGCGGCCUAUCAGCUUGUUGGUGAGGUAAUGGCUCACCAAGGCGACGACGGGUAGCUGGCCUGAGAGGGCGACCGGCCACACUGGGACUGAGACACGGCCCAGACUCCUACGGGAGGCAGCAGUGGGGAAUAUUGCACAAUGGGCGAAAGCCUGAUGCAGCGACGCCGCGUGAGGGAUGACGGCCUUCGGGUUGUAAACCUCUUUCAGCAGGGAAGAAGCGAAAGUGACGGUACCUGCAGAAGAAGCACCGGCUAACUACGUG
rnacentral:rRNA from 1 species